rnacentral:rRNA from 1 species
AACGAACGCUGGCGGCAUGCCUAACACAUGCAAGUCGAACGAGACCUUCGGGUCUAGUGGCGCACUGGUGCGUAACGCGUGGGAACCUGCCCUUAAGUUCGGAAGAACUCCCCUAAAGGGGUGCUAAUACCGGAUAAUGUCUUCGGACCAAAGAUUUAUCGCCUUUGGAUGGGCCCGCGUUGGAUUCGCUAGUUGGUAGGGUAAAAGCCUACCAAGGCUAAGAUACAUAGCUGGUCUGAGAGGAUGAUCAGCCACACUGGGACUGAGACACGGCCCAGACUAUUACGGGAGGGAGCAGUGGGGAAUAUUGGACAAUGGGCGAAAGCAUGAUCCAGCACUGCCGCGUGAGUGAUGAAGGCCUUAGGGUUGUAAAGCUCUUUUACCCGGGAUGAUAAUGACAGUACCGGGAGAAUAAGCUCCGGCUAACUCCGUG